rnacentral:lncRNA from 1 species
GUAUUCUAAGCACAGAGAGCAAUUCUGCUGUACUAAGCAAAAUUGUCCGUUACUAUUUCUGUUUAUUUUCUUUUUUAACAUGAGAAAAAAUCACUUUUCCCAGUACCUUGAGUUGAGCAUAAAAAGAAGGCUUGAAAAUCUGUACUUACUUUCUCUUUCAUUAAGCAUUUUGUCAUCCACAGAUAGGAUUCAAACAUUGUAAAUUAUUUUUAUUAACCCUACUGUGACUUGUUUUGGCACCCCUGAGGGAUGAUAUCAUUUUGAUGUUUAACAGUACUGCCAGGAAAUAUUGUCUCAAUAGUGCUAAGUAUUGCUCCUGGACUAGAAAAAGGAAAUUUUUACAAUGCGUCUGCAGUAUCUCCCUCUUUCUACUAAUGGAAUAGAAACGCUGCCCACCCUUUGGGAAAAGGAAGGCGAGAGGCAUGACGGGACCCUGUGGUGCAGUGCGGUGCUGGGCCAGGCCUUGGAGAGGAGUGUGGUGUGACAAAUAAGUAUGAAAAAGGCAGUCUCCUCUGACAGGUGUUUUUUGCCAGUAGUAAUGUCCAGUAAUUGGAAUAAACUGCCAAGUGAAGGAAUAGAUUCUCCAUCUUUUGAUGAUUUUGUGGAAUGGGGUGCUGAGUCGCCUGAGAAGACUUUGUCAUUCCCAUCUCUGAAGUAUUCCUGCAGCUUUUCCAGGCUUUCCAAGGUGAGAAAGAGGGAGCUGAAGCAUCCUCAGUAGCUUCUUUGGAUCUCCAGUACUUCAAAGGCAGGAUUAGACCUGCAGGAUUAAUAAAUUUAACAACUAAAUCCUGAAGUAUGAUGAG